rnacentral:rRNA from 1 species
UACAGAGGUGGCAAGCGUUGUUCGGAAUUACUGGGCGUAAAGGGCGCGUAGGCGGUUCGUUAAGUCCUGUGUGAAAUCCCCCGGCUCAACUGGGGAACUGCACAGGAAACUAGCGGGCUUGAGUUCGGGAGAGGGAAGCGGAAUUCCGGGUGUAGCGGUGAAAUGCGUAGAUAUCCGGAGGAACACCGGUGGCGAAGGCGGCUUCCUGGACCGAUUACUGACGCUGAGGUGCGAAAGCUAGGGGAGCAAACGGG